CUCAUACCCUAUUUCUCUUCGUAUCUUCAAAACCCUAUUUUUGAUUUCAAUUCUCAUCACUUAUCAGUCCUUCAGGUGCAAAUUAAUCUUCAGGUUUCAAUUGAAGUUCCCUUCUUUUUAAUAUUGUGUGGAAGACCUCCAGCCUCCAGGUGCAGUAAUUUCUCAAAGAUCUUCAGGUUACUCUCUCUGAUGUGUCCAGUAUGUCAAGUGUACAAGAACAAGACCAUUAUAAUGAUGUUAUGAGUAGUGAUGGUGAGGAUGAUGAUGUUGAGAUGCUAGAUUAUGUGAAUGAGGAUCCAACUGUUGGUUGUGCACCUGCCUGUCCUGCACCAGUUUCACGUGGAAAAUAUCAUCAUGAUUCAUGACAUGAACUGAUGAAGUACUGUAACUAAAGUAUUUAAACUA